rnacentral:rRNA from 1 species
CCUACGGGAGGCAGCAGUGAGGAAUAUUGGUCAAUGGCCGUAAGGCUGAUGCAGCAAUGCCGCGUGAAGGAAGAAGGGUUUCGGCUCGUAAACUUCUAUUAUCAGGGACGAAAGAAAUGACGGUAUCUGAAUACGAAGCUACGGCUAACUACGUGCCAGCAGCCGCGGUAAUACGUAGGUGGCAAGCGUUAGCCGGAUUUACUGGGUGUAAGGGGUGAGUAGGCGGCAUGGUAAGCCAGAUGUGAAGGCCUUGGGCCUAACCAGAGGAGUGCAAUUGGGACUAUCAAGCUAGAGUACAGGAGAGGAGAGAGGAAUGUGUAGUGUAGCGGUGAAAUGCGUAGAUAUUAGGAAGAACACCAGUUGCGAAGGCGGCUUACGGAACUGAAACUGACGCUGAGGCACGAAAGCGUGGGGAGCAAACAGGAUUAGAUACCCCAGUAGUC